UAUGGUGAUGAUGCAAUUGGUUAUGUUCAACUUAAAAGGGAAAGUAAAAUCUGCACUGUGAAAUGUAAAAUGUGUCCUAAACAUAAGGUGCGCUCUAAGCAGUAUACAGUUUCAGCAGUCAUUUAUGAAGAAGAAGAAGAGAUUACAGUUCUUUGUCAAGAUUGUCCAGCUGCAGCAGGGGGCUGCAAACAUGCUGUUGCAUUUUUAAUGUGGUUUCAUCGUCGCAGUGAAGAACCAUCUUGCACAUCAGUACAAUGCUACUGGAAAAAAUCCAAUCUUUCAAAAGUCGGCAGCACAAUUAAAGUGUUAACUGAAAAAUAAAUGUGCAAAAGAAAACAUCAGGUUCCGGAACCAGAUACCAGUAUUAUGGAGGAAUUUGUAAUUGAAUGCAAAAACCGAAAAAUUAAAUAAUGUCAGUUUAUCAAGCAUGUUGGAGAUUAUGAAGAGGAAAAAUUAAUAUUAUCUUUACAUUAUUUAGUUAAUACAUACAAAGAAUCGACUUGUGAUCAUUUUCUUUCAAAAACUAAACAUCUCUUCAAUGAAGAAAAUAUAGUCUGCAGAAAUUCAAACCAGAAAUUAAGAAACUAUUCUUGUAAACAAUACGCGUGACUAUCAUCAUAGCCUUUUUGUCGGAAUUUAAAACCAUUGCUUCGAAAGGAUUACAUGAUAAAUAUAGUAAUUACCACUAUUGUAUCGUGCAGGAAUGUAAGAAUACAUCAAUAAAGAACCCAGUGAAGUUGUGGAUUGAAGUACACAGUGAUGAGAAUAUGCGAAACACCUGGUUACAACUAGCUAAAAGAGAUCCCGUAACUCUGUCCAGUGGAACUGCAGAUACAGUCACGCGUAUUGUUUACAAGAAUAGUCACGU